CGGAGCGUUACUAAGGGACGGGGCGACCAUAGCAACCGAAAACUACGGCGAGCGGGAGGGACAAACUUCCUAAAGCGUUCAGCAGUCAGUGUAUAGGAGCAGGACGGAGGAGAGAAGAUAGCGGGAAAAUACAUAGCGGGCCUGGACAACUGUAUCCAGCAGAGCUCGCAUUCCCGUGGCCAUCUUCAAAAGCUUCAGCACUACAAGGACAAGCAGACAAAAUGUUAUGGCGACAUGUGACGACUACUGUUCCCUGUUACUAUAGGUGAGAAACGAUGAAAGAGAAGACUGUUCCAAAGUAGCAAGAAAGAAAGUCUGGCACAGAAAGCAGGUAUAGUUAAUCACAAGCAAAUUGCUGUCGAUAUAAUAAACAUGGCUGCUUGUUCCAUUGAGCGGAGGUAACACAUCAUUAUGUAACUGUACGGAGAAGCACGGCUACAGCAAGGAAGAUCAAGGACAUUUACAAGGCUCAAGUCUCUUGUGUUUAUAAUAGCUUUUGAGAAACAUUACUGACUACGGACAUUCUUCUCUUAUUACAGGCAAAUGACUUUGUUUGAGUUUUUGGCCUCCGAAUAAAUGAGAACAAUUUUUUUAACCAGGCCCUAGAGCAGCUGAGACCUUCCCGUGCCAACAACGUGCUGUGAAGUGAUAGCAUUACCCACUCUAUAAACCGGGCAGGAAGUUGCUGCUUUUGAUUACUAUGAACAGACAUUAAAGCUGACAUAGACAUUUGUUAAAGUUUAAAAUUAGUUUGUAGUGUAAUUUUUUUUUUUACAAAACGUUCAAGAGAUUUGGUUUUGGUUUUGAUGAAGAGA